rnacentral:rRNA from 1 species
AUGUUUGAGGGGGCUACAGGGAAAGCAUGCGAUAACUUUAAUAGUCGUAAUGUCCUGAAGGAAAAACUGGAGGAUGAACUGCGUGGGAAACAGAUUUUACUGGUACUGGAUGAUGUCUGGUACAACAGUAGGAAUUCGGGAGACCGUGAAGAACUAAAAACGUUAAUUUCUCCUCUGAAUGUUGGAAAGGAAGGAAGCAGAAUCUUGGUGACAAGUCGAACUGAAGCUGCAUUAGUAGCUCUGGGUUCUGUCAAGGAGAGACGUAUUCCCAUAUCUAACCUGGAUGAUGAAGUGUUCCUUGAAAUGUUCAUGCAUUAUGCGCUUCGGGAUGCAAGGGUAAGUGACCAUGAUAGAAGAAUACUUGAAAUGAUUGGAGAGGACAUUGCGAAAAAGCUGAAGGGAUCACCUCUAGCAGCCAGAACAGUGGGUUCACGGCUCCGUUGA